CCCAUCAAACUUAGUCAACCCAGCAAAUGGUGGGCAUUGCAGUGAAACACCAUCUGGAGGGCCAAAUCUGUUCCACUUGCUGUUUCAAAAGAAAGACAUGGAGGGAAGAUAUGUGAUUGGCUGGUUGAGUCUCUGCGACUUCUUAGAGGGCUCUGUGGAAACCUCCUACAAUCAUAGUUUGGGCAGCAGAAAAUUUCUCUGGACCACAUGCUAGAGUGGCCAUCAGUACCCCACCAAAAUCCUUUAGAAAAAGAGGAUAGGAUAUGAUGCAGCUUUGCAGAGAAUUAACAUACAUUCAGUGCAAGAACGCCAUUGUCUUUUAUCACAGGAGGGAUUAGGACAAGCAGAGGCAACAAAGCUCUGAUGUCCUGUGGCUGCCUCAACAAAUAAAGUCCUGGUUUUUAAAGUUUCACUGGACCGACCCUUGUUUCUGUCCAACAACUUCCAUGUGGUUUGCUUCCUGGCCACAGUGGUGUAGAUUAACCAUCUCUUAUAGGAUUGUCAGUUCAGCAGCACUCCUUUCCUGGAGAUGUCAGGGUCAAAACCUGGCAGCAGGGGGCAAGUCCUUCUGAUGUCUCAAAGCUGAGGGGCAGGAGAGGGUUGGGAAAGGUUCCAGAGCCACUUAUGGACUAAUAGGUAGCGGAAGUGGACAUGAGGAGCCAACAGAAUAUGCCACUGCUGAGGCUUCUCUUGGACCAAAUUCCUUAACAUUCCUUUAUGAAGGAACACACCUACAACAGCCUCAGCUGAGCUUAUCAGAACAUACUGUGAGAAUCAAUCAAAAGUCAGAAACCAGAGUGUCAUUUAGAAACAACAGCCAAGGAUAUGAACAUAAAAAACAGAGAAAUGGCAUCUUUGGGAUCUCUUCUGAGGAAAGUGGAUUUGGACUGGCUGGCAGCUGUCAUUACUGUUGUAGAAGAGUUAAACUAUAAAAGACACUCUUUUCCACUGUGGAACAAAUCAACUGUUGUCAACUCCUGGUGAAUCUGACUGGAGGAGAUACUUCCAGUGUAUGUCUCAUUCUGGUUCUACUGGUGUGUCUGUGUCUCUUUUGCUUGUUGUAUCUGUCUUCCAGUCCCAAAAAAGGUUGACACAAUGCAGGACAAAUCACUUCUUAUGAAAGAAAUAGACUGGAUAGUAAAAUUAAACACAU